rnacentral:rRNA from 1 species
AGUGAACGCUGGCGGCAGGCCUAAUACAUGCAAGUCGAACGAACAGACAAUGAGCUUUCGCCUCUGACGUUGGCGACUGACGGGUGAGUAACACGUGGAUAACCUACCUAUAAGUCUGGGAGAACUUCGUAAAACCACAUCUAAUACUAGUUAAUAUAAUCUACCGCAUGAUUCAAUAGUUAAAGGCGGUUUUGCUGUUACUUAUAGAUGAAUCCGCGCCGCAUUAGCUAGUUGGUAAGGUAACGGCCUACCAAGGCAACGAUGCGUAGCCGACCUGAGAGGAUGAUCGGCCACACUGGAACUGAGACACGGUCCAGACUCCUACGGGAGGCAGCAGUAGGGAAUAUUCCGCAAUGGGCGAAAGCCUGACGGAGCAAUGCCGCGUGAGUGAUGAAGGUCUUCGGAUCGUAAAACCCUGUUAUUAGGGAAGAAAAAAUGUGUAAGAAAAUCUGCACGUCUUGACGGUACCCAAACAGAAAGCAACGGCUAACUACGUG